GCACAAGCAGCGGAGCGUGUUGGUUUUAAUUCGAUGUUACACGAAGAACCUUACCUGGGAUUGACAUGGAGGUGGUAGGGAAGCGAAAGCGGACCGACUCUUCGGAGAGCCUUCACAGGUGCUGCAUGGCUGUCGUCAGCUCGUGCCGUGAGGUGUCGGGUUAAGUCCCGUAACGAGCGCAACCCUUGCCUUAGUUACAAGUGUCGUAGGGGGACUGCCGGCGGGAAGCCGGAGGAAGGUGGGAUGACGUCAAGUCAGCAUGGCCCUUAUAUCCAGGGCUACACACACGCUACAAUGGUCGGUACAAAGGGCAGCGAAGCCGCGAGGUGGAGCGAAUCCCAGCAAAGCCGACCGUAGUACGGAUAGCAGGCUGCAACUCGCCUGCUUGAAGCUGGAGUUGCUAGUAACCGCGCGUCAGCAUAGUGCGGUGAAUACGUCCGGGCUU
rnacentral:rRNA from 1 species